CACCUUCAGAAUGAAGACAGGCCGAGGUCGUCACUGAUUUCAGCAUUCAGCCUUGACUGUGGGGUAGCAUGCAGAUUGAACAGGCAGUAGCAAAGUUGACCUUGUGUGCCCCCUCAUUGUGCUGCCAUCCGGUCAGCCUGUCGAAGGGGAUGGCAUCCAGAAGACACUACAGAGUUAUAAAGAAACACUACGUCAGCCUGGGGUUGUCCUGAAACAAACCUUUAUACUUGAACUUGGAGACUGCGUGUGGAUUUUAGGGUUUGUGUUUGGGAUCCUAGAGGGGCUGGAGCUACAGAGAAUGAAGAUAACCAGUCCCAAAAUGCAAUUUCAAAGAAUGACAGUGAAGGUUAGCAUGGAGUAGGUGUUAGACAGUGCUUAUUUGUCAACUAGAACAUGUAAGCAUUAGCAUCGAAUAGCUCUAAAGUUGUCGUGACCCUCUUGUACAUGAAUCUUGUAGCUUCGGUUUCCUUUCCUCAUAAGAGGUGACAAAACAUGGGACCCUAGAAUGUGUGAGGAAGUACGGACAUCGGGUAAAAGGAAAAACAUUUGCAGGCUCUCUGUCCAGGGCUUUUUCCUAUCCUGCAAAGGCUAGUGAGUCUUGGGUGUGUUUAUUUUAUUCUCAUGUUUAUGUUUUUUAGAAAAGUUGAAUGAUCAAUGAAUGGCUUAAGUUUUGUAAUAAAAUCAUUUGAUACUCUUACUCCGAAGCCUCAACUGAAUGGUAGCCUCCAGGCCUGUGAAGGACAACCUUUGUCCUCCGUUGCAUGCUGUGCCCAUGCCCACACAUGAUUAGUCUGGUGGUGGAGGGUGGGGGGAAGAUUGGUGAACGUAACUUAGAGCUGCCUACCCCCUGAAGCUAGUAGGUAACACUAGACGUGGGCAGACAGUCCCUCUCCUCCCCUGGACCAUUACUGAGGCCUGUCGUUAGGUGAGGGCAGAACGUUCUGUCCAUCUUCCUCUAACCUGAGUUUGCAGCAGCAGCAGCAGCAUCCGGGGAUCUUGGAAAGAUCGCAUAUUCUGACCCAGAAGUUCUGGGGUGGGGCCUGUGCCUGUUUCUCACAUUCUAGGUGAUGCUCGUGCUGCUGGCCCUUGGCAAACACUUGGUACUGCAAGCCUUGGAUAAUAUCCAAGAAAACUUGAGAGAGUCGUGGUUCUAUCACUGGUUAGUGUCCAUCUAGUAAACUUUAAAGCCUUUAGCUGGUUCCCUGUUAAAAAUGAACCGCCUCCACCUUUUCCAUUUCUUGGCUUGUAGUGAAGUUUGUGGCUUUUAGAUUUGUAGGCAUUGUUUGACCCUAUUUUUGCCACUUAACCUUAGCUUCUGUUUACUCAUGAGGGAAAUAGGAUCCCAUGCACUCUGGAUCACUCGCCAGCUCUGUGAACUAAAUACAUACAAGCAGAUCCGUCACAGAAGUGGCGCUGAACACAGCGUCCCUGACCAGGAGCCUCAGCAUCACCCCAGAAAGUGUUAGAAAUGCAGUCCCCACCCCAGACCUGAUUCACAGACUUGGGGAGGGGCGGGGAGGGGGGGGGGUGCCCACAAGCCCUCCAGGUGAUUCUGAUGCACAGGAAAAAUCAUUUUCACCUGAAGAAACUUUUGGAAAGCUGGUGAUGUUGAGUGGCAAUGACGGUUUAGUUAUAAUUAGUGGGUAAACCUGUCUCUUCUAACGGCUCCUGAGGGGCGAGUCUCAUAUUGAUUUUUUUUUUUUUUAAUUCUGUUAGUUCUUCGCAAGGACCGUGCUUUGGGGCAUUUUGACUUGGAAACGUAAACCUCCUAAGCUUUCAAAACAAGUGUCUUCUGAAGAUGAGUUUGCUAAGCAGCUCAGAACACUGUUGAGAACUCUGCAGAAGACUCCCCGGCUAUGAAAGAUAGAGGAGAGUUGCCUGUGGGACCCAGCAGAGGUCAAGGCCUGCCUGUGCCCGAGGCCCUGGAUCAGCACUGAUGGGGCCGGGCCCUGCCUCUCUCAGCUGCCCUAAGGAUGCCGAGGACAGGGUGGGAAGCAGACAGGACAGGUGGUGCAGCCAAGCUUUCCUUGGCAUUAUGUACUGCACCCUGUCUAUCACCUUACCCACGGAGGAGCCAGGAGGUCAACUUUUACGGUCUUGUCACCAGGGAUGGGCUUGGCUCCAAGGCCACAUGGAUGUGAUUACCCGUCCUCUCAAAUUGGUCACACUGCCUGAUACCUAGCCGGUCGUUCUGUCUCCAGUGCCCACACAACCAUGUGGCCAUCCUUCCAGAAACACUGCUGUUAUCAAAUCUCUUCCUCUCUCUCAAGCCUUUGAAAGGAAGUGGACAAACCAGGCCCCUACCAGGUGGCAGACAUUUUCUUAUGUAUAAAUGUAGUUUAAUUCUCAUGACCCUGUUAGGAUUUAUUCUCCAUUUCAGGGAUAGGAAACCUAGACUCAGGUGAAGCAACUUACUCGUACACCUGCUAAGUGAACCCAAGUCUCUGAAUUCAAAGCUCACGUUUCCCUCCUCACCACCCCCUUGCUAGUCUGCCUCCUUAUUACCUAAGUUCAAACUUGUCAGUCCUUUGGGGUCCACCCUUCAUUCCAAAUACAGGGCCAAAAUCAAGUCAACUUGACCGCUUGGUACCUCUCAACACGUACCCUUAGAGCUCUAGCCAGUCUGUUCCCCUCGCUCAAAUGUGCAUCACAGGGCAGAGUUUGCUGAACGACCGACCGCCCUCUAACCAUGUUCUAUAGGCCAUGGAGUUGUGACUAUUGUCUAUUUUGUUUUUAAUUAAUUACCAACAUUUUUAAAUGGGGAGGUUUCCAGCUAGAGCUCCAUUUCUGGAUCCUAAUGAAAAAUGUCAAGAUUUGACAACACAUUUACAUUCCCACGGGCUAACAAUCUGCCAGAACUCUGUAGCAACUCUCUACUUGAGACCACGUGUGGGACAUACAGAUGUCACUGGCUGGUUCUCCCAUCUGCAGCACCCUGCUGGCCCCUGAGAAUAUUGGAGAUACUUGCCCUAGAGUAUCAUCAUCCUGUGAGUAAGAUGAUUCAAAACAUCUCCAGUUAGAGGGCCAGAUCUUCUAGACUGAUCUUCAUGGAGACUAAGUUUUCAGCUACCUGAGGGCAGUUCUAGAAUUCUCUGGCUUGGAAUGGAGCCUGAAGUCCCCCCUCUAACAUCUCCCUCAGGGUGUCCAGAUUGAACCAUCCAAGGACGAGCGAAGGUCACAGAACACUGCACACAGAUGUGGGCUCAGGGUAAAACCAGCACACGGUAUUCCCGGAAGCCCCUCAGACUCACCCUGAGUAGCCGUUUCUCCAGGGCCGAAGCCAGAAGAGGGCUUGUCGGUGUGGCCUAAUCAAUGUAUGAAACUUAAAACUUUGUAAACGAGAGAGCAAAGGGUAGCAGAAUAUGCCAUGCAGGACAUGCUACCCCCAAGUUUGCUGCUUUUUGAUAUAUGGAUUGCUUGGUGCUGCAGGGGCACUUGGAAAACAGCAAAUACAGGGAGAGGCUGUCACUGAACUCCCAUUAUCUAAAGACCGAUACCCCCAAAAGAAACAACAGUUGCCACACAGAUCCCCUCCUGGGAAUUUAUCCACCAGGGAGGACUGACUCUUACCACAAGAGAAGAGACUAAAAGUCAACCCCACACCCUGACAAACUUCAUCACAAACUGUCACACCUCCCAUCUGUUCUAAAGGGGUCUCCGCUAACUGCUGGAAGAGAAGAGAGAAAAUCCUUUCCACCCCUCUCUACAGGAGCAAUAGAUUGGAUAUGACAGGGAUGGCUGAACGUGGCCAAGUUUCUCCAGCACUCGUAAGGGAGCAGCAUUCAGUCUCUACAGACGUAAUUCUGUGGGCAUGUGGGAGAAGUUUGUCAGACUCAGACCCGCCGAAGCCUUAACGAUGGCCGUCCCCACCACAAUCCGAUGAACUCCUAUAAUGUGCGGGUGGUGCAAGGCUCAACAUUUGAAUCCCGACUCUACCAUUUGGGCUCUGGGGCAGCAUUAGUGAUGACAGAUCCUGUUGCCGCUACAGUAGCUGAACAAAGAAACAGCAAAAACUCAUUAGGCCUAACACAACAAAUUUCUCACACAAAAUGGCUGUGGUCCGGGCAACCCUCCAGGGCAAGGUCAAGGUGAAAUUUCGCAUCCUGGCUGCUCCAAGCUUUUAGCCCAUCGACUUAACCCUAGACCUCUUCCUUAAGAGCACAAGAAAGGAAGAGAACAACAGAGGGUCUCGCAUGAAGGAUGAAUAAUUUGGCCUGCAGGCGAUACGCUUCCCUUUCACUCAGAGCCCGCUGGCCACAGCUAGGCACGUGGCCAUACCUAAUUGCAGGGGCGCCGAGAGGUACAAACCACUCAUGUGCCCGGAAGGAGAGGAGAAUCAAAUGGGGGGGGGGGGGGUUCCUAGAAGGCUACCUCCGUGUGCCCUCUCGACCAGUGAAUAUGGUGUCUUCUUCCCGCAGAGAUACUAAUCCUGUUCCACAGGAGAUGACCCUAAGUAUCAUCUAGUGACCAGCCACAUCCAGCUCAAGGCCCAGGAUGUCUCCACCUGAGUGGUUAGGCACCUCCUCCUCUAUUAGACCUCAUAACUAAAGAGAAAAGUCAUCUGCUUAAUACCCCACCUAAUCCUUAACAGAGAAGUAACCGGAAAGGGGAAGCAAUUCUGCUGUAAGGCCACUUAAACGCGGCAUGGCAGGUGUCCCUUGUAGGUCCCACUCUGCCCUGCCGUUCUCCGCGGCCUCUAGCGCCACCCUCUGUGAGAUUCUGCCGUUGCCAUCACCCCCUCUGGCCACACCCAAACACCACACUGGGGAAUCUGAAUUGAGAGGCUGCCCAGCUUUCUUAAUCCCCAUCCUGUCCUAGGAGACUAGAGCCCCAAGGUCGUUUUCGGUUCUGAGCUGAGACUUUUGGAGCCUCAGGAUCGUGGGGGUUUGGGUCAGAAUGGCUAUCUUAUAAACGCAGUAGGAGUUUUACCUAACGGAUUCCAACCAGCGACAUGGGCCAGAAGCCCCAUUCACAACUUUUUUGUGAGACUUGACUCGUAAAUCUGUUGUUAUUCCUUUGCUCCCUCACUCUCAUACCUCUCUCUUGAUUGAAACUUUGAUGCUAUGGGACUUAUGUGCAAAAGCCAAGCCUUAACGCUUUUUUCCCUGAGCCGUUCUGUCCACCUGAAAAGUUCGCCUCAGCAGCACAUUUUUCAUCUGAUCAUUGCAUGGAGGCCUUUGUCACACAAGGGUUCUCGACAUUUGCUUCUUGCCAUUUAGGGCCCCGAAUCAGUUUGCUUACCUAACAUUGCAAAUCCUCAAAUAUCUGGACUCUCCUUCUUACUUCUAAUGUCUGUUCACAAGCUGGAAAGUUUUUUGGCUGAUCUCAUCUUCUUGUAAGACCUUGCCAAACACAGGCAACAUCGACCACAUGAUGCUAUUAAAAAUCCCCUUUCCCAUCUCUCCCCUUUUAGGUACAUGAUCCGCCCCUGCAGCCUUCUGUUCUUUUUUUUAAAUUCAUUUAUUUAUUUUGAAGGGAAGAGAGAGCAAGAAGGCAGGGGAGGGGCAGAGAGAAAGGGAGAGACAGAAUCCCAAGCAGGCUCCAAGCCACAAACCGCGAGAUCAUGACCUGAGCCAAAAUCCAAAGCCGGACGCUCAACUGACUGAGUCACCCAGGCGCCCCUGCCCUGACCAAACUUCCAGUAACAUCUGAUGCACUUUGUUCAUUGAUGAUGCACAAAUCGACAGAUUUGUCUUCAUCGGACAGAUCAGGUUUGCCCUUACUACAUUACCUAAAUUAAGCUCUUUAUGUUGGAAAAAUUUCGUUUCGUUCACACGGAGUUGCGACAAUACUGAGAGAGCCUGCAUAAACAUCGACACGUACCUGGUUUCUCUGUUGGUAACGUUCUGCAAAACAAUAACAUAAUCCCGCACCCAGGACUACUUUAUUUAAAAACUGAUGGCCUUUGCCUUUAUUUCUGGCCAUUUGCACACCUGCAUGAUUUGGGGAGUGUGUCAGUGCCAUUAUGCCUGAGCUUACUUCUGCACUGAGGCUCGUUAUAUAUUUUUUAUUUUGUUGGUUUAAUGGUGUGUUCGUUCAAAAAAAAAAAAAUUUUUUUUUUUUGAGCACUUACAAGCAUGCCAGGCAGUGCCCUUUGCCAUAGGAGUUCCAACGGUGACUGCAAAGGCAUGGCCCUUCCCCAUCGUGAAUAGAUUUCGCUGGUUUUCCGGAAGCCGAGGAAAGUGGUGUUUCAAAGUGCCAUGGAGCUGACAGGAAGAGGGAGAAAGAGGGAGACAUCCACCGAAUUCCUCAACGAGGACCGCAGCAGUUUUGGCUGGAGAGCAAGGGGCUAAUGUAAGACGGCAGUGCCUUGAGGAGAGGGACGAGGGAAAGGGAGGAGGGAACGGGGGCCCCUCUUCGGUAAUGACUGACUUGUGUAUUUAUUUAUGUGAUUUACAUAGACGCAGCUUGUGGGAAGACAUUCCAGGGGCAUGAACGGGUUUCACAGGGAGAAGCUCCCCACCCGUGUCCCUCCCAGGUCCAUACUUCCCCUCCAGAGACAGCAGGUGCAUACACAAGCAUGUAAGGUCCUACCUGUGUCUUUGGCUGGGACACGCUCCGCCCCUCUAACUGUCCCCAGGAGAGGUUCCUGGAGAGAAGACUGGUGGCAGGCUUAGGAGCUCUGAGUGGCCGGCAGGUUGUACGCAUGGGCCUGGGGGUGGAGGCGAUGGGCAAAAUCCAACCAGCCACCUUGCAGUUAGAGUCAAAGACGCGCAAUGACCAGUUAAGAAGAGGUAGCCUGUUCUGAGCGCUUGCCACAUGCAGGCCACUAACAGCCACCCCCGAGGUCACCCGAGGUCAUCCAGCGACCAGUGUCAGAGGUGAGAGUCCAACCCUGCUCUGUUCACUUCCAAAACCCAGCUGCUUUCCCCAUUUGUGUUGCAGGAAAAUACACAUGACAUAAAAUUUACCAUCUGAACCAUCUUUAAGUGUCCCGUUCAGUAAGAUCAGGUUCAUUCACAUCGUUCCACAACCACCACCACCAUCCAUCUCCAAAACUUGUGCAUCUUCCCAAGCUGAAACUCUGUCCCCACCAACUCCGCAUUCCUCCUCCCCACCCCCCGUGACCACCAGCUACUUCCUGUCUCUACAGGAAGUUCUGGGCCCCCACCCCACCCCCCACAACCUCGUAUAAGUGGAGCCAUACCGUGCUUGUCCUCCGUGACUGGCCUGGUUCACCGAGUGCGACCAUCUCAUCUCUCCAUCUUCGUCGGGUUUUGCCAGUUGUCCCAGCUCCACGCUGCACAGUGAAAGGACACAGUUCAGAAUCACACGUUGCACUUAGUUGCCACAUCUCUUUUGUCUCCUCCAAUCAGCAGGAGUCUCUCUUUAAGACUACAGGCCAGAGGGCACCUGAGUGGCUCAGUUGGUUGGGUGUCCAACUUCGGCUCAGGUCGUGAUCUCACGGUUCGUGGGUUCGAGCCCCGUGUCGGGCUCUGUGCUGACAGCUCAGAGCCUGGAGCCUGCUUCGGAUUCUGUGUCUCCCUCUCUCUGUGGCCCUCCCCCACUCACACUCUGUCUCUCUCUGCCUCUCAAAAAUAAAUAAAAAUGUAAAAAAAAAAAAAUUUAAGACUACAAGCCAGAUCUUUGGUAGAAUAUCUCUUCAGGUGGGUUUGUCUGACGACUGCUUAGGAUUAGCUCCCAAUUCUGCUUUCUCCUGUCCCUAUUUAUUGGUCCACAUGUUUAUUUCUGUCUGUAUGGACCCAUAGAUUCCUGUUUCACUCAACGUUUUGUACAAUCUGGUGCCGUCAUUACCUCUUUCGGUGUCGGAUUGUCCCAGAUUUGGCUGCUGGGCAGCGUUUCAGGCCGGCUUUUGCAUCCGUGUCACACCCCUCCAUCUGUCCUUGGCCACUUGCUUACUUUCUGACACAAGGAGGUGGUCGAGGCUUAUCUCGUGCUUUUCCUGCUCCUGCCCUGGGAUCUGCCGUUUCUCCAAGAAGCCUGAUUCCUUUGUCUGGUAUUUAAAAGUCAAAUCUGGGGGCGCCUGGCUGGCUCAGUUGGUUAAGUGUCCCACUUUGGCUCGGGUCAUGAUCUCGUGGUUCAUGGGUUCGAGCCCCACGUCGGGCUCUGUGCUGACAGCUCAGAGCCUGGAGCCUGCUUCUGAUUCUGUGUCUCCCUCUCUCUCUGCCCCUCCCCCGCUCACGCUCUGUCUC